rnacentral:rRNA from 1 species
GGACCCGCACAAGCGGUGGAGCAUGUGGUUUAAUUCGAUGCAACGCGAAAAAGCCUUACCUACACUUGACAUACUUCGAAUUUUCUAGAGAUAGAUUAGUGCCUUCGGGAGCGAAGAUACAGGUGCUGCAUGGCUGUCGUCAGCUCGUGUCGUGAGAUGUUGGGUUAAGUCCUAUAACGAGCGCAACCCUUACCCUUAUUUGCCAGCGGUUAGGCCGGGAACUAUAAGGGAACUGCCGGUAAUAAGCCGGAGGAAGGUGGGGACGACGUCAAGUCAUCAUGGCCCUUACGUGUAGGGCUACACACGUGCUACAAUGGGAGAUACAGACGGUUGCUAAAGCGCGAGGGUGAG